rnacentral:rRNA from 1 species
AAUAUUGUACAAUGGGCGCAAGCCUGAUCCAGCCUUGCCGCGUGAGUGAUGAAGGCCCUAGUGUUGUUAAUCUCUUUUGUCUGGGACGAUAAUGACGGUUCCGGAUUAAUAAGCCCCGGCCUACUUCUUGCCUGCCGCCGUGGUAAUACGAAGUGUGCUUGCGUUGCUCGGUAUUACUGGGCGUAAAGGGCUCGUAGGCGGUCGUUUAAGUCAGGGGUAAAAUCCCGGGGCUCAACCUCGGAAUUGCCUUUGAUACUGGAUGUCUCGAGACCGGAAGAGGUAAGUGGAACUGCGAGUGUAGAGGUGAAAUUCGUAGAUAUUCGCAAGAACACCAGUGGCGAAGGCGGCUUACUGGUCCGGUUCUGACGCUGAGGCGCGAAAGCGUGGGGAGCAAACAGG